UACGUAGGGUGCAAGCGUUAAUCGGAAUUACUGGGCGUAACGCGUGCGCAGGCGGUUCGGAAAGAAAGGUGUGAAAUCCCAGGGCUUAACCUUGGAACUGCACUUUUAACUACCGGGCUAGAGUACGUCAGAGGGGGGUAGAAUUCCACGUGUAGCAGUGAAAUGCGUAGAGAUGUGGAGGAAUACCGAUGGCGAAGGCAGCCCCCUGGGAUGAUACUGACGCUCAUGCACGAAAGCGUGGGGAUCAAACAGG
rnacentral:rRNA from 1 species